ACCAGCACCCCGAGUGGUCGGGACGAUUAUUGGGCCUAAAGCAUCCGUAGCCGGUUCUACAAGUCUUCCGUUAAAUCCACCUGCUUAACAGUUGGGCUGCAGAGGAUACUAUAGAGCUAGGAGGCGGGAGAGGCAAGCGGUACUUAGUGGGUAGGGGUAAAAUCCGUUGAUCCACUGAAGACCACCAGUGGCGAAGGCGGCUUGCCAGAACGCGCUCGACGGUGAGGGAUGAAAGCUGGGGGAGCAAACCGGAUUAGAUACCCUUGUAGUCC
rnacentral:rRNA from 1 species